CAAAAGCUCUCCUAAAAGGUGGGUUUUAAGGCCACGUUUAAAAUCAUCCACAGUCUGUGGGGUCCUCAGGUGGUCAGGGAGAGCCUUCCACAGUCUGGGAGCCGCUGAGCAGAAAGCCCGAUCUCCCAUAGUACGGAGCUUUGUCCUGGGAGGUUUCA